UGAGGCAGUCAAAGUAGGCAAAUCCGCUUUGAUAAUGCUGGGAUGUGAUGGGGAGCGAAAUUUAGUAGCGAAGUAGCUGAUUUCACACUGUCAAGAAAAGUCUCUAUCGAGGUUAAAGGUACCCGUACCGCAAACCGACACAGGUGGGUGAGGAGAGUAUCCUAAGGCCAGCGAGAGAACUGUUGUUAAGGAACUCGGCAAAAUGACCCCGUAACUUAGGGAUAAGGGGUGCCACCAUCAGGUGGCCGCAGAGAAUAGGCCCAAGCGACUGUUUACCAAAAACAUAGGUUUCUGCUAAGUCGCAAGACGAUGUAUAGGAGCUGACGCCUGCCCGGUGCUGGAAGGUUAAGGGGAUCUGUUAGAGCAAUCGAAGCAGUGAACUUAAGCCCCAGUAAACGGCGGCCGUAACUAUAACGGUCCUAAGGUAGCGAAAUUCCUUGUCGGGUAAGUUCCGACCCGCACGAAAGGCGUAACGAUUUGGGCACUGUCUCAACAACAGACUCGGUGAAAUUGUAAUUCCGGUGAAGAUGCCGGAUACCUGCGACAGGACGGAAAGACCCCAUGGAGCUUUACUGUAGCUUGACAUUGGGUCUUGGUACUACAUGUACAGGAUAGGUGGGAGGCUUUGAAACCAGGACGCCAGUUUUGGCGGAGCCAUCCUUGGGAUACCACCCUUGUA
rnacentral:rRNA from 1 species